rnacentral:rRNA from 1 species
ACGGGAGGCAGCAGUGGGGAAUAUUGGGCAAUGGGCGCAAGCCUGACCCAGCAGCGCCGCGUGAAGGAAGAAGGCUUUCGGGUUGUAAACUUCUUUUGCAAGGGACGAGACGAAGACGGUACCUUGUGAAUAAGCCACGGCUAACUACGUGCCAGCAGCCGCGGUAAUACGUAGGUGGCAAGCGUUGUCCGGAUUUACUGGGUGUAAAGGGCGUGUAGCCGGGUCGGUAAGUCAGAUGUGAAAUCCACGGGCUUAACUCGUGAACUGCAUUUGAAACUGCUGAUCUUGAGUAUCGGAGAGGCAAUCGGAAUUCCUAGUGUAGCGGUGAAAUGCGUAGAUAUUAGGAAGAACACCAGUGGCGAAGGCGACUUGCUGGACCGCAACUGACGCUGAGGCUCGAAAGCGUGGGGAGCGAACAGGAUUAGAUACCCUGGUA